UACAGAGGGGGCAAGCGUUAUUCGGAAUUAUGGGGCGUAAAGGGCGCGUAGGCGGCUUGGCAAGUGGAAGGUGAAAUCCCUCGGCUUAACCGAGGAACUGCCCUCCAAACUGCUUCGCUUGAGACCGGGAGAGGUGAGUGGAAUUCCCAGUGUAGCGGUGAAAUGCGUAGAUAUUGGGAGGAACACCAGUGGCGAAGGCGGCUCACUGGACCGGUACUGACGCUGAUGCGCGAAAGCGUGGGGAGCAAACGGG
rnacentral:rRNA from 1 species